rnacentral:tRNA from 1 species
GCCGUUGUGUCUCAGUGGUUAGAGUGUCAGCUUGUGCACUGAAAGGUUGUGGUUUCAAUUCCCAGUCAAGGGCA